CAAUUAGACUCCUAAUACUAAUAGUCGACAAACGAUGUAAAAAAAAAAGUCGACAGACCAAAAAAGACGCCUAAUUGUCUAAGCCUUUGGCCUGUUCAACAACAACAAAAGAAGCGUGUAAGCAUUUGACAAGAAGGUUUCAUUGUCUGUUAUUUGGGUUUCGUAAUGUCCUCUAGGGAUCCAACUCGACAGUACCCUUACGCAUCUCAAUACGCGUCGCAUCCGGAUUUAGGUUUCAUCCCACUUUUGGUCUCUUCACGAUGAAAUCUACGGGAAGAACCUCUACCUAGGGUUUCGAUGCGCCGUUUGAUUUUCUUAUUAGCAAUCUACGCUCCCAGUUACAGAUUCAUCACAUUGGACCCUUCUUAAAUCCAUCAACCACGAUCUAACCUUCCGUGCGAGUUUCUUCUGCAAGGCGGUCUAUAUGCAUGUAUAAAAAGCCGACGUGGCCGUGGCUUUGAGGUUAAACACCUCCCGAGAAACCGCUUCACUCACCCUCUCUCACUUUUGAUACUUUAUCUUCAACCGUCUCCACGCCGCGACUCCUCGCUAUUACAACCACUGUAACAAGAUCGUUACUCUCAAGCCUACUAAUUGUGGUGCGGAGUAGGUGAAGGUGUAAAGUCUGCUCUUUUGGUCUCUCAAGGAGACCCACCGGAUCUCUGGUAACCUCUCGGAUAUGGAGUUUCCCUUCGGGUUAAUCCUGGUCAUGGCGGUGGUGGAAGCAUACCAAGUGCUGGUAACGGAACAUGGUAAGAUUCGAAGGAGGAUUCUUGGGGUGCAUCACAUUUCAAUCAAAUGCCAUUCAUGUUAAUGUUAUGAAUCUGAGCUUCAAGACAUUAAUAAGAUCAUGAGAGUUUGAAGAAGCAUUUGAUAUACCUGGUGAACCAAGGAAAGACUCUGACUUUCUGAGUGUGAAGGGAACUUCUCUGGAUGGGCAUUGUUUCGAACCAAGGAUCAUGCUGCAAAACACAUAUGCACAUGUGAUUUAGUCCUUACUCAAAACUUAUACCAUAAUAAAUCCAAUUGUUUCUCUUACAAUUCCUUAAUUCCUUACAUAACAUACACUUUGUUUUCUUUGUGUGUAUGUAGCAAUACUCUAAGGAUUCUCAGUUCAGCGAAGUGGACAGAAAAGAGUAUCAGUUUAGAACGAUAGCUAUUAUACUCAACUAUUGAACUUAGGUUCAGGUUCCUCUAUAGUUUUAAAUAGAUUCUUAGGAAAGUACUUCUCAGAUCAUUAAUUGAUGUGUUGUAAAACCUGUAGGCUACUGAUCUAUUUCAAAUUCCAGGACUAAAUUCGUGAAUGGUUUAGUUGAUUUCAUUACCGUAGAUAUUUGCAGAUUACACACUUUUUCUGCAUUAUUCUGUUGGCUUACUUUGAAAAUUAAUCAAUACUCAUGGGCAGAAAAACAAAUGCUUACGUUUCUUCGUCUUCAGCUGCCACGUUCAAUACUGAUAGACCAUGGAUUUUACCCACUUUUAGCAUAGUCUAUAAGUGUUUUAAUAUAUAUUUACUACUAUAUAUAGUUUAUUUUGAGUAUUUACAGGUUCAUGGACGAUUUGGAGGAAUGUGGUGAUUUUGAUGUCUUUUGGAGUCUUAUGAUGUGCAAAGCUUCACAGAUGCGUCAGAUGUUUAUCUAUGGAUGAAUACCUUACCACCGUUAGAUUGAGCCCAGCUUUUGACACAAGAUACAGCUUUGAGUUAGCUUUCCAAUGCCUCCAGUUUGAGGUCAAUCAGCAUCCUGUAGCAAACGUUAUGCCCGUUUUACUAAAGAGUGGUCAGUUUGCCUCGCGAGAGAAAGCUGUCGAGGAAAUGAAGGACUGUCGAUCUAUGAAACAGCAUUGGUGUCAAUCGACAGUGAUACCAGAAUAUGGGCUGAGCGUAAUUUAUGACCGACUGAAGCCUAGAAGCCACACAAAGUUACCAAAAUACCCAUGGACGACCAAAAACCCUAUUUAUGUAUUUCUAAGCCAUUGUUGACGGCUACACACUUUCUAUUAUAAUAUUCUAUUGUUUUCUCUUA